CUGAGGCAGAUGUGGAUGUGUUCGACAAAGUGCAUGUCAACAUCGAGAAGGCCCAAGAGAGGCAGAAGGCAGCCUAUCGGAAAAAAACGACAAAGGCCAAGCGCUUCACCAUCACUCCUGGCAUGGAGGUGCUGAAAAAAAAUGAACGAAAGCGUGGCAGACCUGGCAUGACUAUGCUUCCUGACUGGCCAAACAAGUAUAGGGUCAUCAGUGUGGAGGACAACCUUGUCCAGUUGGAGACAAUGGAAGGCAAACCCCUGUCUUCUAAA